UACUCGAUCUACUUUCUCGAUUUGCUUUUCUCUGGAUCUCAUCUCUCUGGAUCUGCUCUCUCUCCAUCAUCUCUCUGGAUCUGCUCUCUCUCAUCAUCUCUCUGGAUCUGCUCUCUCUAGCGUGGUCGUUGGUGGUAGAGCAUUUGUCGCCGUCGUCAGUUAUGGAUUGUUGAAUCCAUUAUUCAGUUUGGAAUCUUCAUAAAGAUUAUCACGGUUUUCGUAAUGGAUUGUGGUGUUGUUGGUGGGACUAAAGGCGACUAUAAAGCUUAUGAGGAAUAUAGCUUUGUGUCCUACUGUUAAAGAAGUUGUUAUCUGUGAAGGAUCAAUCUCUUGUUUGGUUAUAAUGUUGAGGUGGGCGAUUUCAGGUGUGAGAAUUGCAGCUGGAAAAAUGUUGGUGGUGUUUGCUUGCAUUUGUAAAAGGUUGUGGUGUUGAGCUGUAGUGGUGCUUGUUCUCAUCCACGUUCUUGGCUUUAUUAUUAUAUAGUUGUCUUCCUUGUUUCCUUACUAUAUGUAGAUUCAUAUGUAUGUGGUUAAGAUCUUGGUAAAUAAUAUUAUGAUCAUGAUGCUACACGUAAAAUACAAAGCAAUAAGGUCUUACAAACUUUGAAAACCUAUGGAAAUAAUGUUAAAGUAUUUAAAAGGUCUUACAAGA